CCUACGGGAGGCUGCAGUGAGGAAUAUUGGUCAAUGGCCGGAAGGCUGAACCAGCCAAGCCGCGUGAAGGACGAAGGUGCCAAGCAUUGUAAACUUCUUUUGUCAAGGGACAAAAUCAGGCUCGAGAGCCUGACCGAGGGUACUUGAAGAAAAAGCAUCGGCUAACUCCGUGCCAGCAGCCGCGGUAAUACGGAGGAUGCGAGCGUUAUCCGGAUUUAUUGGGUUUAAAGGGUGCGUAGGCGGACUGUUAAGUCAGCGGUAAAAGCCCGGGGCUCAACCCCGGCGAGCCGUUGAAACUGGCGGUCUUGAGAUGGCGAGAGGUAUGCGGAAUGCGCGGUGUAGCGGUGAAAUGCUUAGAUAUCGCGCAGAACCCCGAUUGCGAAGGCAGCAUACCGGCGGCGAACUGACGCUGAGGCACGAAAGCGUGGGUAUCGAACAGGAUUAGAUACCCUAGUAGUC
rnacentral:rRNA from 1 species